rnacentral:rRNA from 1 species
GACUGACAAGUCGAGCAGAUGCGAAAGCAGGACAUAGUGAUCCGGUGGUUCUGUAUGGAAGGGCCAUCGCUCAACGGAUAAAAGGUACUCUGGGGAUAACAGGCUGAUACCGCCCAAGAGUUCAUAUCGACGGCGGUGUUUGGCACCUCGAUGUCGGCUCAUCUCAUCCUGGGGCUGUAGCCGGUCCCAAGGGUAUGGCUGUUCGCCAUUUAAAGAGGUACGUGAGCUGGGUUUAAAACGUCGUGAGACAGUUUGGUCCCUAUCUUCCGUGGGCGCUGCAGAUUUGAGGAAGCCUGCUCCUAGUACGAGAGGACCGGAGUGGACACACCUCUGGUGUAUCGGUUGUCACGCCAGUGGCAUUGCCGAGUAGCUAAGUGUGGAAGAGAUAACCGCUGAAAGCAUCUAAGCGGGAAACUCGUUUCAAGAUGAGAUCUGCCGGGGCCUUGAGCCCCCUAAAGAGUCGUUCAAGACCAGGACGUUGAUAGGUCAGGUGUGGAAGCGCAGUAAUGCGUUAAGCUAACUGAUACUAAUUGCUCGUGCGGCUUGACCCU